AGUGAACGCUGGCGGUAGGCCUAACACAUGCAAGUCGAACGGCAGCACAGUAAGAUCUUUCUCUUACUGUUUGCGUGUGUCGGACGGUUGAGUUAUACAUCGGCAUCUUCUUUUUCUUGUGUGAUUACGUAUGUAAACUUCCGCUAAUACCUCAUACUUCCUCCUUGUUUAUUCAUGUGUUCUUCUUACCUUUCGCGUUUUUAUUAGCCGAUGUCGGAUUAGCUAGUUGGCGGGGUAAAGGCCCACCAAGGCGACGAUCCGUAGCUGUUCUGAGAGGAUGAUCAGCCACACUGGAACUGAGACACGGUCCAGACUACUACGGGAGGCAGCAGUGGGGAAUAUUGGACAAUGGGCGAAAGCCUGAGCGAGCCAGACCGCGUGGGUGAAGAAGGACUUCGGGUUGUAAAGCCCUUUUGUUGGGAAAGAAAAGCAGCAGGAUAAAACCACGAUGUUCUGACGGUACCCAAAGAAUAAGCACCGGCUAACUACGUG
rnacentral:rRNA from 1 species